rnacentral:tRNA from 1 species
GGGUUAGCUCAGUGGUAAAGCAUCUGCUUUGCAUGCAGAAAGGUCCCAAGUUCAAUCCCCGGCAUGCCUA